ensembl:lncRNA
CCGAGCACCAACAGCGGCGCCUCCGGCACGGACGCGUCCGCUUCCGGCCCAGCCGGGCCCAGCGCCCGUUCCAGCGCUGCCGCCAUUCGGCCGUGGCCAAUCUCUGCCUCCGUUCCGCGGGGAGCGGCCAAUGGGAGCUCGGAGCCCCUCAGCCAAUCGGGGAGCGGCUUCCCUCAGCGCUGCUCCCGCCCACCGCGCGCCUCAACCAAUCGGAGGGGAGAGUCCCGCGGAGCCGCUCCCGCCCGCCGUGCUCUCCUCAGCCAAUCGGAGAGGAGCAUCUCUCAGCCCACGGCGCGCGCCUCAGCCAACCAGAAGAGGCUCCCUCCCGCUCCCGCCCACCGCGCGCGUCUCAGCCAAUCGGAGGGCACGAAAAGGAGGGCGGGAUGCCCGUCCCGCGCGCCGUCCCCCUCCUCGCUUUUCAUUGGCCGCUCCAGCCGCCAAUCCAGCACCGCCCCGUCUCCCGACGCGCUUCAAAGCCCCGCCCCUUCCCGCUCCGCUCAGCCAAUAGGGAGGCGGUACCCGGCAGGGGGGGGCGUGCCCGGAGCUGUCAGUCACUCCCCGCUGCCUGGCAACGCGUUGCUUGGCGACGGCGGGCUGUUGCCGGGCAACGGGGCGAGUUGGGCGCGGCUCCGCGCAUGCGCAGACGAGACGGGACGCACGAUGUGCACCAGGAGGCGCAGGGAUGGAUGAUGCACAGGGAUGCAUGAGGCUGCAGGGCUUGCACGAGGAUGCACGAGGGUGCACGAGGAGGCGCCGGGUUGCACGACAAUGCACGGGUGUGAGCACACGAGGAUGCACCGGAGAGCAUAAGAAUGCAUGGGGUUGGGGGGCAUGAGGGAUGUGCAGCGUUGCACGGGGAUUCACAGGGAUGGAUGCACGGGGGGGCUGCGGGAUGCAAGAGGGGUGCACGAGGAUGCACGGCGGUGCACGAGGAUGCAUGCACGGGAUGCACGAGGGUGCACAGUGUUGCACAGCGUCGCACGAGGAUGCACGGUGUCGCACGAGGAUGCACGGGGUUGCACAAGGAUGCACGGUGUUGCAUGAGGGUGCAUGCACGAGGUUGCACAGUGUUGCACAGUGUUGCACGAGGAUGCACGGGGUUGCACGAGGAUGCACCGGGUUGCACAGCAUCGCACGAGGAUGCACGGUGUUGCACGAGGAUGCAUGCACGAGGGUGCACAGUGUUGCACAGUGUUGCACGAGAAUGCACGAGGAUGCACAGCGUUGCACAGCAUCGCACGAGGAUGCACGGUGUUGCACGAGGGAGCACGGGGUUGCACGAGGAUGCACAGUGUUGCAUGAGGGUGCAUGCACGAGGUUGCACAGUGUUGCACAGCAUCACACAAGGAUGCACGGGGUUGCACAAGGAUGCACGGGGGUGCACGCGCGUGCACAGCAUUGCACGAUGCAUGAGGAUGGAUGCACAGUGACGCAUGGUGGCUCAUGGUCAGGGUGCAAAAUGGUGCACGAGGGUGCCCGGGGUUACACGAGGAUGCACGAGGGUGCGUGGGGAUGCACGUGGAGGAUGCACUUGGUGCACAACGGUGCACGCGGACGGACGCACGAGGGUGCAGAGGGCGGCACAAGGAUGCAAGGGGGUGCACAAGAUUGGAUGCACGGGGAUGCACGAGGAUGGAUGCAUGAGGCGGCACGAGGAUGCACGGGGAUGUGCAAGGAUGCUCAGAGUUGCACGAGGUUGCACGGGGAGGCACGGGGAUGCACAAGUGUGCAGAGGACACACGGGGACACGUGUGGGCAGCCGAAGUCGCCCAGCCCGGUGCACACGGUUGCACGAGGCCGCGUGCCAUUGCACCAGGAUGCACGAGGAUGCAUGGCGAGGCACGGCGUGGCACGGGGAGGCACGAGGCUGCACGGGGAUACAAGGGCGUGCACGGGGGUGGGUGCACGAGGGUGCAAGAGGUUGCACGAGGGCGCAGAGCACACACGGGGACGGCUGCAGAGGGACACCCGAGGACGCCCAAAGCUUCACGGGGACGCCCGCGGGCUCACGAGGAUGCACGGCCCCGUGCACGGGGAUGCACGAGGAUGCACGAGAGGAUGCACGAGGAGGCCGGCUCGGGGCGUCCCCUCGGCUACGCGUAUUCUCCAGCAAUAACAGCGCGGCCGUGUUAUCCGCCCGAGAAUACCCGUCACCGCGGGGCGCGGGGGGGGCAUCCGGGGGGGGGGGGGUGGGGGGGGAUUGAGGGGGGAAAGGGGGGAGGGGAGGGGAGGAGGAGGAGGGGGGAUUCGAACCCGCGGACGGGGGAAGCCCUGGGCGGGGCCUCGAGAGCCGCCGGGUGGGGAUUCAGCACCACGGACAGCGGCAAUGCUGCUCUAAUGGGGGCUGUGGGGGUUCUAUAGGGAUCUAUAGGGGUCUAUGGGGGACCAUAGGGGUUCUAUGAGGUCUAUGGGGACUCUAUGGGGGACUAUAGGGGUUCUAUAGUGGUCUAUGGGGCUCAGCACCACGGACAGCGGCAAUGCUGCUCUAAUGGGGGCUGUGGGGGUUCUAUAGGGGUCUGUGGGGCCCUAUAGGGGUCUAUAGAGGUCUAUGGAGCACUAUAGGAGUACUAUAGGGGUCUAUGGGGUUCAGCACCACGGACAGCGGCAAUGCUGCUCUAAUGGAGGAUGUGGGGGUUCUAUACGGCUCUGUGGGGGACUAUAGGGGUAUUAUGGGGGUCUAUGGGGGUACUAUAGGGGUCUAUGGGGUUCAGCACCACGGACAGCGGCAAUGCUGCUCUAAUGAGGGCUGUCGGGGUUCUAUAGGGGUCUGUGGGGGUCUGUGGGGGACUAUAGGGGUAUUAUGGGGGUCUAUGGGGGUACUUUGGGGGUCUAUGGGGUUCAGCACCACGGAUAGCUGCAAUGCUGCUGUAAUGGGGGCUGUGGGGGUUCUAUAGGGGGCUCUCGGGGACUAUAGGGGUAUUAUGGGGGUCUAUGUGGGUACUAUAGGGGUCUAUGGGGUUCAGCACCACGGACAGCGGCAAUGCUGCUCUAAUGGGGACUGUCGGGGUUCUAUAGGGGUCUGUGGGGGUCUGUGGGGGUCUGUGGGGGACUAUAGGGGUAUUAUGGGGUCUGUGGGGAACUACGGGGGUAGUAUAGGGGUCUAUGGGGCUCUAAUGCGGGCUGUGAGGGUUCUAUAGGGGUCUAUGGGGGUCUAUGGCAGGCUAUUGGGGUACUAUAGGGGUCUAUAGGCCUUUAAUGGGGACCGCUGGGUUCCAUAGGGGUCCAUUAGGGUCAGUGAGGGACUAUAGGGGUGCUAUAGGUUCUAUAGGGGUCUACGUGGGGCUAUAGGGGUAUAGGAAUCCAUGGAGGUUCUAUGGGGACUAUCGGGGUACUAUAGGGGUCUAUGCGGUUCAGCACCACGGACAGUGGCAAUGGGGCUGUAAAGUGGACUGUGGGGGUUCUAUAGGGAUCUAUAGGGGUCUAUGGGGGACUAUAGGGGUUCUAUGGGGUCUAUGGGGGCUCUAUGGGGGACUAUAGGGGUUCUAUAGGGGUCUAUGGGGCUCAGCACCACGAACAGUGGCAAUGGGGCUCUAAUGGGGGCUGUGGGGGUUCUAUAGGGAUCUAUAGGGGUCUAUGGGGGACUAUAGGGGUUCUAUGGGGACUAUAGGGGUUCUAUGGGGGUCUAUGGGGGUUCUAUUGGGGACUAUAGGGGUACUACAGGGAUCUGUGGGGCUUAACACCGCGGGCAGCGGCAAUGGGGCUCUAUAGGGGUUCUAUAGGGGUCUAUGGGGGUUCUAUUGGGGACUAUAGGGGUUCUAUAGGGUUCUAUGUGGGUUCUAUGGUGGAUCAGCACCACGGACAGCGGCAAUGGGGCUCUAUAGGGGUCUGUGGGGGUUCUAUGAGGGACUAUAGGGGUUCUAUAGGGUUCUAUGGGGGUUCUAUGGUGGAUCAGCAUCACGGACAGCGGCAAUGGGGCGCUAUAGGGGUUCUAUAGGGGUCUGUGGGGUCUCAGCACCACCGACAGUGGCAGUAGGGUUCUAUAGGGGUCUAUAGGCUGUCUAUAGGGGCUCGGCAAGACGGACAGCGGCAAUGGGGCUCUAUAGGGGUUCUAUAGGGGUCUAUGGGGGUUCUAUUGGGGACUAUAGGGGUUCUAUAGGGGUCUAUGGGGGUUCUAUGGUGGAUUAGCAUCACGGACAGCGGCAAUGGGGCGCUAUAGGGGUUCUAUAUGGGUCUAUGGGGCAAUGCGGUUCGGUGGAGAACUAUGGGAAUUCUAUGGGGUUUGGCAACAGGGACAGCGGCAGCGGCACUCUAUGGGGGUCGUAUGGGGUCUAUGGGGGUUCUAUAGGGAUCUAUUGGGGUUCUAUAGGGGUCCGGAAGCACGGAGAGCAGCUGGAGGGGGCAAUGGGAUUGUAUGGGGCCUAGGGGGGAUUCUAUGGGAGCUCUAUAGGCGGUGCUAUAGGGGUUGUAUGGGGGGGGGACAAUGGGAGCUCUGUAGGGGGUUCUAUAGGUUCUAUAUGGGGCUUUGGCACCCAGGAUAGCAGCUGUGGGGGGUCAAUGGGGCUCGGGGGGGGGGGGGGUCCUGUAGGACGGUCCUCCAGGGGCUGUAUGGGGUUCUAUAAGGGGUUCUAUGAAGCCUAUGGGGGUUCUAUGGGGGGGCUCUAUAUAGGGCCCUCUACAUAGGGGCUCCACGGGGUUCCAUAGGGGCCCUAUAGGGCUCUAUGGGGAUGGGGGGGGAUGUAUAUAGGGCCCUCUACAUAGGGGCUCCAUGGGGGCUCUAUAGGGGCCCUAUGGGGCUCAAUGGGGGGGAGGAUCUAUAUAGGGCCCACAUAGGGGCUCCAUGGGGGCUCUAUAGGGGCCCUAUAGGGCUCAAUGGGGGGUGGAGGGGCUCUAUAUAGGGCCCACUACAUAGGGGCUUCAUGGGGUUCCAUAGGGGCCCUAUAGGGCUCUAUGGGGAUGGGGGGGGCUAUAUAUAGGGCCCUCUACAUAGGGGCUCCAUGGGGGCUCUAUAGGGGCCCUAUAGGGCUCAAUGGGGGGUGGAGGGGCUCUAUAUAGGGCCCACUACAUAGGCGCUUCAUGGGGUUCCAUAGGGGCCCUAUAGGGCUCAAUGGGGGGGAGGGGGGGGGCUUUAUAUAGGGCCCUCUACAUAGGGGCUCCAUGGGGGCUCUAUAGGGGCCCUAUAGGGCUCUAUGGGGGGGGGAGGAUCUAUAUAGGGCCCACAUAGGGGCUCCACGGGGUUCCAUAGGGGCCCUACAGAGAGCUCAGCGAUGCCUAUGGGGAUGGACACAGGGCCCAUAUAGGGCCUCAGUGAGCUUCUAUGGGGGCUCUCUAUGGGGCGCCGAUCGGGGCCUCUAUAGGGACUCUAUAGGGCCCAUAUAGGGCCUCCACGAGCUUCUACGGGGGCUCUCUAUGGGACGCCAACCGGGGGCUCUAUAGGGACUCUAUAGGGCCCUCCAGCACCGCCGCACGGCCCCACCCCCCCCAACCCCCCCCCAAACCCCCCCCCCCCAACCCGUCCGUCCCCACCGGGGGGGGUCGUGGGGGGGUCGUGGGGGGGUCCCGGCCCAGCGCU